GCAGGGCUAGCAACGGCUCCAGGCCAGGCAGCAACCGAGAGCAGCUGGAGACCGAAGGUCCAGAGAGGCCAAGACCCAUAUUGGUGUGCUCAGUUGGCCGGAACUGUGAGCUGCCUGCCGGGUGCCGUGUGGGGACCACCGGUUCCCUGGAAGGGAAUCUCAUUUGGAAAGGCCGAGGGGAGCGGCGCACAGGAAUAACGAUUUAACCUGGAGGCUGCUAAACGGACCUUGUCUGCAGCCAGGCGCACCCACAGAAAAGAAG
rnacentral:lncRNA from 1 species